GAUGAACGCUGGCGGCGUGCCUAACACAUGCAAGUCGAACGGAGAUUCCGGACGGAAGUUUUCGGAUGGAAGACUGUAAUUCUUAGUGGCGGACGGGUGAGUAACGCGUGGGCAACCUGCCCUAUACAGGGGGAUAGCAGCUGGAAACGGCUGGUAAGACCGCAUAAGUCGGCGAGACCGCAUGGUUUUGCCGGGUAAUGAGCAAUCAGGUAUAGGAUGGGCCCGCGUCCGAUUAGCCAGUUGGCAGGGUAAAAGCCUACCAAAGCAACGCUCGGUAGACGGACUGAGAGGGCGGACGGCCACAUUGGGACUGGGAAGCGGCCCAGACUCCUACGGGAGGCGGCAGUGGGGGAUAUUGCACAAUGGAGGAAACUCUGAUGCAGCGACGCCGCGUGAGUGAAGAAGUAUUUCGGUAUGUAAAGCUCUAUCAGCAGGGAAGAUGAUGACGGUACCUGACUAAGAAGCCCCGGCUAACUACGUG
rnacentral:rRNA from 1 species